GUGCUCACUUCAGCAGCACGUGUGGUCAGAUUGGAAUGAUGCCGAGAUCAGCAUGGCCCCUGCACAGGGAUGACAUGCAAAAUGGUGAUUUAAAAAAAAAAAAA
ensembl:snRNA U6 U6 spliceosomal RNA